GUCUCUUCUGGGCUAAGCCCCGCCACCGCGGCCGAGCAGGGCGGGCCCGGACCUUCGACCCACGCUCCGGGCAGAUGCCGGUGGCCUUGGAGGACCCGCCCUCCGGCCUGCCGGGCCUUUCCUCGGGGAGGCUGUAGCUGAGAUCCCCGCCCCGCCGUCCAACCCCGCGAGACGAGCCCCCUCUCCUCUCCCGCCCGGGCCUCACCUCUCCUGCAGGAAACGAGUGCAGGCGCCGGGCCGUGGUACUGGGGAAGGGCGCCGGCGGCAGCGGCGACGCCCGGUCAAAAAUGACAUUUUGAAGAUUAGUCUUGCAUCAAUAACCAGGAUGUUUUGAAAUGGAAGAAAUUGGACACAGGGAGACCAAAGAAGCUACUGUUACGGUAAUGCACGUGAGAAAUGAAUUAGGUGAAAACAUUGUAUACGAAGAGAAAAAGAUGAGCUCUCAUAAUUUGGAGAAGAAAAAACCCCAUAAACUUACAGUGACAGAAGAGACAUCCAUAACAAAGGAUUGGGAAUAGAUAACAUUUAUUUAACCCUAGGGACUGAAGGAUUCAUAAUGCUAUCUGCGGCAUGCUGAAAACUGUAUUGAUUCUUCUGAAUGUGCAGAGAAAGAUGACCUCAGUUUGGGCAUCACAUAACUUUUUUAAAAGUGAAAAAGGAAGCAAAUAAUACUGUAUAUUUCAUACACUAUAUCUUAAUUUGAGAUAUAUAUGUAUGUAUAUUUAAAUUUAGAACCAUAUAUUAAAAUUUUUGCAGUGGUUAUUUCUGAAAGGUGGUUUAUGGAUGGAUUAAAUUUCUUUCUUUGUACUUUUCUGUAUUUUUCAAAUUUUCUACAAACGACCAUAGUAGAAAAUAAUAGAGAAGCUGCAAAAAAGGGAGAAAAUUUUUAUAAUAGAGAAAAAGUUGCAAAAAAGGGGAGACACCCAAGUUUAUAGUACUAUAUUUUAGGCAAAUUGCCAUGAAAAAUUGUUAAACUUAAAAAAAAAACUUAAAGAGGUAAGGUUUGGUGUUAUUGAGCACUUCAAAUGUGGCUAGCUCAAACUGAGAUAGCUGUAAGUAUAAAUUACCAAAUGGAUUUCAAAGUCUUAGUGCAAAAAGAGAAUAUGAAAUAUCUCAUGUAUUUUUAAACAUUGGUUACAUGAUAAAAAAAAUUUUGUUAGAUUAAAUAAACUAUAUUAUUUUCUUAGUCCAUUUUGUGCUGCUAUAACAGAAUGUCUGACACUGGUUAGUUUACAAUUCUGGAGGCUGGAGUCCAAGGUCAAGGGGUGGCAUCUGGUGAUGGCCUUCUUGCUUCAUCAUCCCAUGGCAGAAGGCAGGAGAGCAAGAGAAUGUGUAGGAGAGAAAUAGAGGGCCAAACUCAUUUUUCUAACAAGCCCUCUCUUGAGAUAACUAACUUACUCCCUCAAUAACAACAUUAAUCCACUCACAAGGGCAGAGCCUUCAUGACCUAAUCGGCACUUAUUAGGCUGUACCACCAACAUUGCUGCAUUGGGGAUAAAGUUUCUGAUACAUAAACUUUGGGGAACAUAUUCAAAUCAUAGGAAUUGUUAAAAGUAAUUUUAUGUAUUUCUUUUUACUUUUUAAAAUGUACCUACCAGAAAGUUUACAAUUAAACAUAUGGCUGAUGUUUGUGGCUAUAUAUGUAUUGGACAGUGCUGGUCUAGAAUAUCAUCCAAUUUUUAAUAAACCCCUGAAACCCAAGUGACUUUAAGUGCUUUACCUUUCCCCUAACAUCCUCUUCAGUAUUAUCCAAUAAAAAGGCUUUAUCCUCCA